rnacentral:rRNA from 1 species
GGCGAACGGGUGAGUAACACGUGGGUGAUCUGCCCUGCACUUCGGGAUAAGCCUGGGAAACUGGGUCUAAUACCGGAUAUGACUUCAGGUUGCAUGACUUGGGGUGGAAAGAUUUAUCGGUGCAGGAUGGGCCCGCGGCCUAUCAGCUUGUUGGUGGGGUAAUGGCCUACCAAGGCGACGACGGGUAGCCGACCUGAGAGGGUGACCGGCCACACUGGGACUGAGACACGGCCCAGACUCCUACGGGAGGCAGCAGUGGGGAAUAUUGCACAAUGGGCGAAAGCCUGAUGCAGCGACGCCGCGUGAGGGAUGACGGCCUUCGGGUUGUAAACCUCUUUCAGCAGGGACGAAGCGCAAGUGACGGUACCUGCAGAAGAAGCACCGGCUAACUACGUGCCAGCAGCCGCGGUAAUACGUAGGGUGCAAGCGUUGUCCGGAAUUACUGGGCGUAAAGAGUUCGUAGGCGGUUUGUCGCGUCGUUUGUGAAAACCAGCAGCUCAACUGCUGGCUUGCAGGCGAUACGGGCAGACUUGAGUACUGCAGGGGAGACUGGAAUUCCUGGUG